rnacentral:rRNA from 1 species
GCAUGGUUGUCGUCAGCUCGUGUCGUGAGAUGUUGGGUUAAGUCCCGCAACGAGCGCAACCCCUAUCCUUAGUUGCCAGCAUUUGGUUGGGCACUCUAGGGAGACUGCCGGUGACAAACCGGAGGAAGGUGGGGAUGACGUCAAAUCAUCAUGCCCCUUAUGAGUUGGGCUACACACGUGCUACAAUGGACGGUACAAAGGGCAGCGAGACCGCGAGGUGGAGCCAAUCCCAUAAAGCCGUUCCCAGUUCGGAUUGCAGGCUGCAACUCGCCUGCAUGAAGUCGGAAUCGCUAGUAAUCGCAGGUCAGCAUACUGCGGUGAAUACGUUCCCGGGUCUUGUACACACCGCCCGUCACACCANCGAGAGUUUGCAACACCCGAAGCCGGUGAGUAACA